rnacentral:rRNA from 1 species
GGACGAGACUGACGCUCAGGUGCGAAAGCGUGGGGAGCAAACAGGAUUAGAUACCCUGGUAGUCCACGCCGUAAACGAUGUCGACUUGGAGGUUGUGCCCUUGAGGCGUGGCUUCCGGAGCUAACGCGUUAAGUCGACCGCCUGGGGAGUACGGCCGCAAGGUUAAAACUCAAAUGAAUUGACGGGGGCCCGCACAAGCGGUGGAGCAUGUGGUUUAAUUCGAUGCAACGCGAAGAACCUUACCUACUCUUGACAUCCAGAGAACUCUCCAGAGAUGGAUUGGUGCCUUCGGGAACUCUGAGACAGGUGCUGCAUGGCUGUCGUCAGCUCGUGUUGUGAAAUGUUGGGUUAAGUCCCGCAACGAGCGCAACCCUUAUCCUUUGUUGCCAGCGGUC